rnacentral:lncRNA from 1 species
GGGUGACGAUGGAGAAGUUGGGCCCAGGGGGCUGCCUGGGGAGCCUGGACCACGUGGUCUGCUUGGGCCAAAAGGCCCCCCUGGCCCACCUGGACCUCCUGGUGUGACGGGUAUGGAUGGCCAGCCUGGCCCCAAAGGAAAUGUGGGUCCCCAGGGAGAGCCUGGGCCCCCAGGACAGCAGGGUAAUCCUGGUGCCCAGGGUCUUCCCGGUCCCCAGGGUGCCAUUGGUCCUCCAGGAGAAAAGGGUCCUUUGGGGAAACCAGGUCUCCCAGGAAUGCCCGGAGCUGAUGGACCCCCGGGGCACCCUGGCAAAGAAGGUCCUCCAGGAGAGAAAGGAGGCCAGGGUCCUCCCGGCCCCCAGGGUCCCAUUGGCUACCCAGGUCCACGAGGAGUCAAGGUAAGAG